rnacentral:rRNA from 1 species
AUCUCAGAUUAAGUAAGGAGACCCGCUGAAUUUAAGCAUAUAAUUAAGCGGAGGAAAAGAAACUAACCAGGAUUCCCUCAGUAAGGGCGACUGAAGCGGGAAGAGCCCAAACCGAAGAAUU